UCACAUCCCUAUCCCGUAUCAGCCAGACUCCAGCAGUAACCCGUCCUCCACCACCUCCUCCACCCCGUCCUCCCCGGCUCCGCCUCUGCCCAGCAGUGCCACGCCCCCCUCGCCCCUGCAUCCCUCCCCACAGUCGGCACGGCAACAGAAACAGUUCAACUUGACAGGCUCCAGUUAUUUCAAGUACAAACAACAGUUCAUCUUUCCCGAUGUUGCUCCAGAAGCUCCUCCAAGCAGAGCACCACAGGUCAUCCUGCACCCCGUACUGUCUGAACCAGGGUGAGCAGAU